GGGGUUGUGGCUCAGUGGUAGGGCACUCACCUAGCAUGUGUGUGGGUCUGGGUUCGAUCCUCGGCACCA
rnacentral:tRNA from 1 species